rnacentral:misc_RNA from 1 species
GAAGCACGGCCCCAUCAAGAAGCUCGAUAUGGACGAAGGGAUGACGAUGGUGUUCCGGGUCCAGGAUCCUGCGGUGCUGAAGACCGUCAAGGUCGGUGAUAAGGUUAAGUUCGAUGCCGACCGGGUCAAUGGUCAGAUCACCGUGACCACUCUUCAAAAAUCCAAGUAAGAGAUCGGAACGGUUGCGAUCGAUUCAAAUUGUCGAGCACGAUCGCAAUCUAA